rnacentral:rRNA from 1 species
UACGGAGGAUGCAAGCGUUAUCCGGAUUUAUUGGGUUUAAAGGGUGCGCAGGUUGUUUGAUAAGUCAGUGGUGAAAGUCUGUCGCUUAACGGUAGGAUUGCCAUUGAUACUGUUGGACUUGAAUAUGGAUGAGGUAGGCGGAAUGUGUAGUGUAGCGGUGAAAUGCAUAGAUAUUACACAGAACACCGAUCGCGAAGGCAGCUUGCUAAGAUACAAUUGACGCUGAUGCACGAAAGCGUGGGUAGCAAA